AGAAGGGUGGCUUAGUGGAAAGUGCCUGGGCCUAGGGAUCAGAGGACCUGGGUUCUAAUCCUAGCUCUGCCA
rnacentral:tRNA from 1 species